CCAGCAGGAUGAAAGGAUGGAGGGGGAGGACUCUGGAAGGAGCCCUAGCCUGGGAAACCUGGAUGCCCCCCAGGCAAGUCGUUGCAAGCUGGUGAUUCUCCGUUUACUCCUGUGAAAAGAGCGAGCUAGAACCUGGCUUUAGCUCUCAGUUUGCGCCGGCGCUGACAAGCUGCUGAAGUCAAAGACUCCAAGGCCCCCGGGCAUGGUGGAGACACAGGAAGGAAGGAUCUCGAGUCUCCGUAUCACUGACUCUGGGCUUAUUAUUCACAGACGUGUUCUUUAUUGAGCCCUUAUCAUACAUCCGUGAAAAUGCUGCUGUUUCCAGUCAGAUCGGCCGUUCCAUUUAGAGGCGAGGGGAGAGAGGUAACUGAAGAGAAAAGAACCCUGUUUGGAAUGAGGUAUACAGUUCAGUGGUCUGUUGUGCAACCAUCACCACCCUCCAUCUCCAGACUUUUUCAGCUUCCCCAACUGAAAUUCUGACUGUACCCAUUAAACGGAAAGGAGCAGAAUUCAUUGGCACCAUCUCUGGUGUGUAGACAUGGUAUUCACCACACCCAGCCAGGCUGGCUCUGCAUAUGUACAGCUGCAUUUUUGGAUCAGCACUCUUCACCUGGGCUACCUCAUCCCAGGGUUCCACAUGGAAGCAUGAAAUGGCCGCAGAGCACUUGUUUAAUCACCUGUCCAGAGUCUCUGUGUGUCAGGGCGCCUGGGUGGCUCAGUCGGUUAAGC